UACGGAGGGUGCAAGCGUUAUCCGGAUUCACUGGGUUUAAAGGGUGCGUAGGCGGGCUGGUAAGUCCGCGGUGAAAUCCCCAAGCUUAACUUGGGAACUGCCGUGGAUACUAUCAAUCUUGAAUAUCGUGGAGGUAAGCGGAAUAUGUCAUGUAGCGGUGAAAUGCUUAGAUAUGACAUAGAACACCAAUUGCGUAGGCAGCUUACUACGCGAUCAUUGACGCUGAGGCACGAAAGCGUGGGGAGCAAACAGG
rnacentral:rRNA from 1 species